rnacentral:rRNA from 1 species
CCUACGGGGGGCAGCAGUGGGGAAUAUUGGACAAUGGGGGCAACCCUGAUCCAGCCAUGCCGCGUGUGUGAAGAAGGCCCUCGGGUUGUAAAGCACUUUCAGUGAGGAAGAACGCCUGGUGGUUAAUACCCAUCAGGUAAGACAUCACUCACAGAAGAAGCACCGGCUAACUCCGUGCCAGCAGCCGCGGUAAUACGGAGGGUGCGAGCGUUAAUCGGAAUUACUGGGCGUAAAGCGCGCGUAGGUGGCUUGAUAAGCCGGUUGUGAAAGCCCCGGGCUCAACCUGGGAACGGCAUCCGGAACUGUCUAGCUAGAGUGCAGGAGAGGAAGGUGGAAUUCCCGGUGUAGCGGUGAAAUGCGUAGAGAUCGGGAGGAAUACCAGUGGCGAAGGCGGCCUUCUGGACUGACACUGACACUGAGGUGCGAAAGCGUGGGUAGCAAACAGGAUUAGAUACCCCAGUAGUC